UAACGCGAAGAACCUUACCUGGGUUUGACAUGCACGUGAAACCCCUGUGAAAGCAGGGGCCUCCUUCGGGACACGUGCACAGGUGCUGCAUGGCUGUCGUCAGCUCGUGUCGUGAGAUGUUGGGUUAAGUCCCGCAACGAGCGCAACCCUUGCCCCGUGUUACUAACAGGUCAAGCUGAGGACUCUCGGGGGACUGCCGGCGUCAAGCCGGAGGAAGGUGGGGACGACGUCAAGUCAUCAUGGCCCUUACGCCCAGGGCUACACGCGUGCUACAAUGGCCAGGACAGAGGGCUGCGAGACCGCAAGGUGGAGCGAAUCCCAGAAACCUGGCCCAAGUUCGGAUUGCGGGCUGCAACUCGCCCGCAUGAAGCCGGAAUCGCUAGUAAUCGC
rnacentral:rRNA from 1 species